UGUGUGUGUGUGUGUGUGUGUGUACACAAAGAAAGAGGUUGCUUCUUCCCUCUCACCUCCCUGCAUUACAAGUCUUUGCCUCUUGCUCUGAACUUGUAGCUUUCAGCAUUGUGCCAGGGGGCAUGCACUUUCUAGGCUGUCGGUUUUCCAAGGUCAUCCUUUGAGAGUAGCUGACUGCUGGAUGCAUCUGGAAUAAGUCAGACAAGGGUCUCUUCAGCUGACUUAGGAGGCUCUUGCCCUCUGAUCUGAAACUGCUGAGGAUGUCUCUGUGCGGCCUGUAGACUGCUAGUUGCUAUAAAUUCCUAAAAGAAAACAAGAGCAGGUACCUGUUCCUUCUCUCCUCUCUCCUCCCUCCCUCUCCUUUGGUGAGUGUGACGAAGAGCGUGUGACAAUGUCUGGUGGAGUUGGUAGAGAGAGAAACAGUGGCCUGUGGGUUGGGGCUCAGAGAAAGAGGUUAUCCUAGGAUGAAAUAUCAAACCAUAUCACAUUGAUUUUCCCUUUGGGGGGCCCGGAUAUCACAUCCUUCCAUUUCCCUCUAGUCCCUGCCCACCAUCGACAGGGAAGCAUUAACAGGGAAUAAUCAAUGAUGCUCUGUCCUGAAAAUAAAAGGCUUGUCAUGUCUCUCCAUUUGGUGGAAUGGAUGUGGGACCAGGGGUCAUGUGGCCGCUGCCAUCUGUCUCCUGACAGAGGCACUGACUCAGACAAGCUUUCCGUCCAGAGCGCUGCAGCCUACAGCCAGGUGAGCGCAAACUCCCCACGGGCAGCAAGGAAAACAAGACUUCAAUUUCUUUGAAUGCUCGUGUUAGGAGCGUGGCUAACUAUAAAAUAUGGCAUCUUAGGAGCUACUUUCUGUGAACUUUAAUUUCUGAAUUGCAUAAAGGAUCAACAUUCCCUAAUAUGCUGGAUGCUGUGCUUGCAUUCCAAACAAGUCCGUGCACUCACCAUUUCGGGAUGGAAUCACAGAAAUUCAGAAUGGAGAGGGACUUAAAUCUGUGGUCCAGCCCCAUUCCCCGUCUGAUAUAUGAGUUCAUUGAAGUUUUCUUGGUAACCCUAAUGGUUGUGAGAACAUGCCUACUGCUUCCUGUUAUUGUUCUUCCAUUGUCAAAAAGCUCAACUCUUAGAAAGUAUUUUCUUAUGCUUUACCAAAAUCUUAUGCUUUGCCGGUGCUCAUGGCUGUCAUUUGUAUUAUAGUAACCUCUCCAUAUUCUCCCAUCUCUUUCACUUAGAUCCACUACUUGGGUCCCAACUCCUGACUCUCUCCCACUCACAAUCCUGUUAAGUCUCUUGGAUUUAGCCCUUAUAUCUGGUCAUUCAUCAAAACCUCUGGCUUAGAAACAUGCCAGGGGCUCUUCCCCUUUCAGACUCCUUGGGUAGCCUUCCUGCUCCUGCCUCACCCCACACCUUUCAGCUCAAAGGUAAGUGGGAAGCAUCCCCUUCCAUUUUCCAUGCUGUGUUCACUUGGCUGAAGACGCACCUAGCUGGCUUUGGAAGACAUCCUUUGGACUUGCCUUAAGAUAGCUCCAAUCUAAACUCUCUUUGCAUUUUUUUGUUUUUUAUAUUUAAUUUUUUUCAGAGAUGAGGUCUUGCUUUGUCACCCAGGUUGGAGUGUGGUGACAUGAUCUGUGAUCAUAGUUAACUGCAGUCUGGAACUCCUGUGCUCAAGCAACACUCCUGCCUCAGCCUCUAGAGUAGCUGGGACUACAAGCACAUACCACCACGCAAGGGUAACCUUUGUGUUUUUGAUGCAUGCUACAGCUGAUACCUGUAUGAUUACAUCCUAUACCUGUAUGAUUUGAUUUUAUUGGGACCUACAUGAAAAACUGUACAAGUAUGGCAAUUACAUUUUAUCUUGUUAGGUUUGUUUUUUGCUCCAACUUGGGGAGUUCUUUUUAAAUCAGAUUCUGCCACUGAAAGCAUUCCCUUUCAUUGGCAGCAUUGGUGAAUGUGCAAAUUUGAUAAGCAUGCCUUUUCUAUCUUGGCCUCAACCACUGGCAAAAAUGGAAGGCUGAAGUCCAGGAGACCUGGGUGUCGGACUUUAUAACUGAGUAGAGUACAAGCUUUGGACUCGUCAUUCAGAAGCUGAAUUGCAUUCUCCUUGUUAUAGACCCAGAUUCUCCACCCCCAUGAAGCUUCUACAUAGCAGAGAGCAGUGACUGCACAUCACUGUGGGCAGGCAGGCUUCAAAAGAAAGCCAAGAAAGGGCUGGGCAGAGCACACUCUGUUCCUUCUUGAAAUGUACCAAUUGGAGAAGUUGUUCUUUCUCCCAUCCUGUCAAGGAUAAUAGUAAGCAUCUUACGGUUCCUUACCAUUUAUGACGCACUCUCUCUUUCAAUUCUACCUUAACUGUGUUGUGGGAGGAAGAGUGUUUUUAUUGCUGAAAUCCCAUGUUAACGUGGGCCCUGGAAACAGAGGUUCUCCCCAGACCUGCCUUGGUUGGUCAAUAAAGUGGUUCAUUGCCCUUAUUUCCAACAGCAAUCCUGAUUUUCUUUUGGGCCCUCUUCCACUCUCUUGUCAUGAGGUUUACAUGAAAUCUCUCCUCCUUCCUUUCUCCAAGCUCAAGGGGUGGGCAUAAUUAUUACACUAAAGCUAAGCAUUGGGACUCACUGUCCCAAACUUUCAAUUUUGACUGGGUGAUAAAGACAGGCCCCUGCCCAGAGACAGCAAUCUGAGGUGUGGUUUACAGGGACUGCGCCCUGAGGGGUCAGUUCCCCUAGCAUACAUGACUUGUCUCUUAGAACCUUCUGUGAGUUCUCUGACAUUUUCCCAGGAUAUCCCACUGUGUCCCUUAAAUGUAUGAAAGUUACAGUCUAUUGCAUAAAGCAGUACAACUCUAAGCAAGAUGAAAUGCAGGUUUCGAUAGUAACCAGGCUCUAAGCCCAGCCUAUACUGACUCAGCACUAGCCCCACUAACACAACUUUCCAAACUUCCUGGUUGGCACCUCAUGCUUCUACCAUCCACCAAGAGACAGCCCAGACUUGUCAACAGGGAAGGGGAGUAGGGAAUACUUGGUUGAAAUAUAGAUAUACCAUGUCCAAGAGUCUAAUAUGGCAAAAGUAGAAAUGAUGUCUAUCUGAUGUGGUGUGUGUGUGUGUUGUAAACGAACUUGUGCAGUGUCACAGUGGCUACCAUUUUGUUUUCUAUUAAUAAGUGCUGAGACUCUUGCUUGGGGGUCAUGAGUAGCUCCUGUAUUUGCAGAAUGAAUCACCAGUGGGUCCUUGGGUGAGUCUAUUUGAGCUUCUGCUUCCUCAAUGGUAGGAUGGAUGGAGUAAUUUUAUCCGUCCACCAAUCAUCCCUGCAAGCCUUCGUAUGGGACCUUAACCCUUAUAGUCGCGUUUAUUGUCUCCUUUGGUCCGGCUAGCUGUACUUGUUUUUUGGGAAUAACAGACAGGAAUUUGUGUGAAAAUACUUAGUGAAAUGUAAUGCAUUAUAUACUUUGUUAUAAAAGCACUGACCCUCAUCUUCUAGAAUAUUCCAUUCUCCUGGUUGUCUUCUGGAUCCCUGACAACAAUUCUGCAAUUCAUCCCAUUUACAAGGGUUAUCAGCAUCCUGGAAAGCCCUUCAUCGAGGUAAGUGGCUUCGAUUCAUUAGUGUGGCUAGAGAACAGGUGCACGUUUUAUAAUCACUUAGUGCUUUAAUUCCUUCUUAUCAACAUGUGUGCUACCCAUUUCAUGGUAAAGAUUUUAUUGGACAGAAAAGAUGGAAGCAAAUUAGGGUUAUAGAGGUUCUGCCUUUUUUUCUGAUAAAAAUCACUACCUCUCCUAAGCAGUGUCCUGUGUCAUCUUUUUUUCCACUUGCCCCAAACUUAACUUUAAAAAAGCAGAAGCCAUUUUUGAUGCCCUGGGCUCUUUUUGCAAGUCUCAGCUCAGUACUGGCUUCAGCCUUCUGACACUCUCUAACCAAAAGUCAGCUUGCUUAUUAAAAUUUUUAUUAACAUUUCAGUCUGCCAAGAUUCUAAAUCACAGAAGCCCAGGAGAAUUAGAGGCAAUAUUUAGGAAAGUGCUUUGAACACAGUAUCAAUCCAGGGCCCCUUUGCCUCUGUCCGGAAGGAAGCCCUUGCUGUUGGUACCGACUGGGAGGUGAUUCGGAGGGUUUCCCAGGCCGGAGCUCAUCGCAGACUCACAUCACCCGUCAGCGCCGACUACUCUGCAGCACCAGGCGCUGUUCUCAGGGCCUCACGCCGCCUUCUCUGCAGGUCCUUGCAUAUGCGUUUCCUCUUUCCACCCUUGAUAUUUGUCCUUCCACCCUUGUUAGCUGUGCUCAUCCGAGCUCUGUCUGCAGCUCCUCAGAUUUCCUUACAUCCCAUCUCCCUUUCUUUCCUUUUGGUGGCACUUUUAGUGACAGAGUCAUAUUGGAGCUUUUGAGGGGUUCCUAGUCAUGAACUGUCUUCCUUAUGCUAUGGAAUCAUCCCUAAUAUGGCUAGAAUUAGAAACUACUAAAAUGUUUGAGUAGUGGAAAAUGCAAAAAUAAAAUCACAUGAUAUUACUACCCCCAAACAGCCACUCAUUAGCAUUUUGGUAUAGUUCAUGUGAAUGUUAUUCUGUGUAUCUUUUGAAAUCUACAUGUACGUAGUAAUCAUACUAUGCAUUAAAUAUUUGGUGUUUUACAUGUUAUAUAGCCUUCCUCCCAUAUUAAUAUACAUUUUUUAUAGGUGCCAUACUUAAUGGCUGCACAAUACUGAGUACAUGAAACACAUAAUGCUCCCAUCAUUGGACACUAAAAUUGUUCCCAAACCUUUUUUUUUUCUUUUAUAAAUAACCCUGUGUGAGAUGAGAGGGAACACAAUGCACAAGACCACCCUCACUUGUGACACCAAUUGCAAGUCCAAGGAGCUUCCAAGAACUACCCCAAAGUUUGAUAAUUCAUUAGAAGGACUUAUAGAACUCACCGAUAACUGUUAUGCUGAUGAUUAUGGUUUAGUGCAGUUAAAGGAUACAGAUUAAAAUCAGCCAAGGGAAAAGAUGCAUGGGGUAGAGUCCAAUCAAGUUUUAGACAUGGGCUUCCAGUUGUCCUUUACCCAUGGAGUUGUGGGCAGCAUUACUUCCCUGGCAUUAACAUGUGACAAUACACAGAACGUUCCAACCAGGGAAGCUCACCCAGCCUUGGUGUCCAGAGUUAUUAUUGGGGCUCCAUGGUUGACUGCCUGGGUGGCUGGUCUUUAGUCUCCAGCCCCUCCAGAGGUAGAGCGGAUACUGCAUGGCCCAAAGAUCAUAAAUCACAGUAUUAUACUGUCCCGUGGCCACGGCCCCUGGCAGGCAAAGACACUCUUAUCAGGCAGGACAUUCCAAAGUCCUAAAGAUCACCUCCCUAUAUCCACAAUGAUAAUCAGUAUGAAUCAAACAAAACAGAACAAAACAACAAAACAAAAAAGAUCAUCUCCCUAUAGCUGAGGACAAAGGCCAGACUGCUCUUUGAGUAAGGUGAAUUCUUUACUAUACACCCUGUAACAAAUAUCCUUGUGUAUAAGCAUUGUUCAUUUUGAGGGUUAUUUUUGAAGACAAAUUCCUGGAAGUGGAAUUAUUGAACUAAAGGAUAUGAACAUUUUUAAGACUCUUGAUACAUAUUACCAAAAUGCUUUCCAAGGAGUUUACCAGUUUAUUUUCCGUUCCUUGCCCUACCCACUCAGCGAUGAACAGCACAUCUGUUCCAUCACACCCUCACGCAAUGGGUAUUUUCAUCUUAGAAAACUUCUGACAAUUUGGUAGACACAAAAUGGUAUCAUUGGCUUUCAUUUGCAUUUCUGAUUACUAAUGAUGGCAAAUCCUUGCCCAUUUUUAAGGUUUUAUUAUGAAGAAUUUUGAACACCCACAAAAGUUGAUAGAAUAUCUUAAUGAAUCCCACAUGCCCAUCACCCCAGCCCCACAACCAUCAACCCCUGGGAAUCCUAGCUUAUCCAUAGCUCCAUCUUCUUCUCCUGUCCCCAUAAGUUUUGAAGAAGAUCUCCUGGACAUGUAAUUUUAUCUAUAAUAAUUCAAUCUGAAUGUCUAAAAGAUAAGAUCUCUUUAUUAAAAGUCCACAAAUACAAUGAUCAUACUUUAAAAAUUAACAAUAAUUCCUUAAUGUCAUCAUAUAUUCAAUUGGUAUUCAAAUUUCCAAUUGUUUCAUAAAUGUCAGAUUUUUUUACAUUUAAAAAAUUAGGAUCCAAAUGAGGACCAGAUAUUAUUGAGAUUCAUAGAGAUCCAUAGAUUUGUCUUUUAAUUUAACAUAUUUCCUUUAAUCCAUGAAUUCUCUCUCUCUCUCUCUCUUUCUCCCUCCAGCUGCCUUCCCUAAGAUAUGACUUAAUGUUCACUACUGUACCCCUGGUGCCAAAAACAGUAGGUUUGGUGGACAGACUCUAAGAUGUCCUCAUGAUCCCUUCCUCUUGAUGUUUACAGCUUUGUGUAAUCCCUCCCUUUCCCUUGGCUGUAACUUGCUUCUAACCAAUAGAAACAGCAAAGGUGAUGGGAGGUCAUGCCCAUGAUUACGUUAUAGAAGACUCUGUUAGCAGUCUUGCUAGCAGUCUCUCUCUUUCUCUCUUCUUCCUUCUCUUUCUCUCCCCUCCUCUGUUGCUGGCUUUAAAGAAACAAGAUGCCAUGAUGUAAAUGGCCAUGUUGGGGAAGCUCACAUGGCAGGAAACUCUGAGGAGUCUCUAGGAGCUGAGAGUAGACCCCAACAAGAAACUGAAACCCUCUGUUUGGCAGCUGCAAGGAAAUGAAUUCUGCCAACAACCUCAGGGAGUUUGGGAGCAGAUCUUUCCUCAGUCGAGCCUCUGAUGAGAUUGCAGCCUUGUGGAUACCUGGCUUGCAGCCUUGUGAGACCCUUAAGCAGAGAAACCAGCCAAGCUGUGUGUACACUUCUGACCUACAGAAACUAUAGAUAAGGAAGCGAGACCAGUGGCAAGCCUGCAGAUGGAUAAUGGAAGCAUUCCUCACAGCUGUUCAGGGAUAUAUAUAUUUUCUGCAGUCGAGCGAGACGGAUUCCCAUCACAGCGCGGGGACUUGUUCCAUGAAGCCCCUCAUCCGUCAUGCUCGGGGGAGAUGGGGACAGUGGAGAAGUGUCAUUAUGGAUGGAACUGGGCUCAGAAGUGACUGGUCAAGGUUGACACUGCAGUCCUGACGGAGCUGUUUAUGGAAAUUUUCCUGGGAGGCUGGUGGAGAGGGCAGCUCCAAACAGCCCCUGCCUGUGGCUGCUUCCUGAGUCCCAGUCUGACUGCCUCGGAGCUGAAUAAGUCCCUCCAAGUUAGCUACCCAAGGAAAAUACCCUUUUCCCUGUUCCAAACUAGAGAGAGAGGAGAUCAAAACAAGUAUUAUCUCAGUGUUUGUGCUAAGCCUGAAUGGGCGCUCUAAUCAUCUGUCCUGAUGUCGCUGCCCCAUCUCUCCCAGAACUCUGAGCAAAGUAGGAUCAGGGUGAUCUGUGCUCGGCACAUUACACUAAAGUGGGGAGCGCUUGGAUCUGGGGUGCUGCCUCAGGUUUGCCAGUCCUGUGUGGACACUGAUUUAGUCUCAGAGUGAGCAGGCUAAGGAGGACAGAAAUUGGUCCACCUCGAAAGACAAAAGCUAGAAUGCAAUGUCUCCUCCCUACUCCCUUUUCCUAACCUCAGGAAACAACAUGUGCAAAGAGCUUUUCUGCCACUGAUAGCUGUCCUUCCGCUCUCUACGCUCCUGCCUCCAGGCCGCCCCACCUGCCCCACAUGUCCCAUGGUGCCAGGGGAGGCCCCCUCCCCACCCUGCUGGAACAAUGGCUGUCACUUCUUGACUGUCUCUCCAAGGUUUCCAGUUUGCUUGGGGAAAGAGCCUUUCUCUCCCCCAUGCCCCCUUUUAAGUGUACGUAUUGCCAGCCUCACACUGAAAGGAAUUGUGAUGUCUGACGGAAGUACAAACACUAUAGCAAGGGAGGAAAACCAGGCAGGGGAAAUAAAGGCAGGAGAAAUGAGACAAGGCCACUCGAGGCUCUAAUACCAAAGGCCGAUUGAUGUUCACUUGCUAAUUUGGUUCUGAGUUUUCUGGAAGAAGGAAACAUAAUCGCCAAUUCCCUUCACAGUGACCAUGAGAUAAAAGCAAACUAGUUGUUUGGGAGAAAGUUCUGAAGUACCAGAUGCGUCUCUGGUGGGAUGUUUGUUCUUUUCAAGAUGUGAGCAAUACCCUCAAUAAUGGAUCACCUGGAAAGAUACCAUUUGCAUUCUGGGAGAGCUGCCUGCCGACUUCACAAAGAUUUAUUCCUCACGUCAGUGACUGUUAGCAUAGCAGAGUGAAGUGUGCCUGAGAAGCUGUGGCAAUAGCAGUGACCAUGGUGGCGGUCAAGGCUGACAGGAGGAUGCUCUGGGGCAGAGCAGAAGCACGGACUUACAGCUUCAGCCUCAAGGACUUGCAAGCUUCGGUGUUGCAAGGCUCCCGAUUCUAGCCAUGGGGAAGGGGUUCCAGGUUCCAGAGAGAAAACCGAAGCACCGUGCAAUGGACACAAGAUGACUAAGUUUGGGGAGGGAAUAGAUGCUGAGGUUGGAGGUUCUGCAGCAGAGUUAGGGUGUGGUGGGGUGGAAGGGUGAGGGUAGAGCGAGUGAACUUUAUGGUCUCAGAUCCUGGAGAGAGAAGGGCAGCCUUGUGGGGCAGGGGAGGGGCAGGUGCUCAUAGACUGGCACGUCACCAGCAGCAACUCUCUUAACCUUCCCAGCAACUGGGCGUAGGAGGUAUUAUUAUUCCCAUUGCACACACGAAGAGACUGAGGCUCAGAGAGGCCAUGUCAAUUAUAUCAUGAUCUGAUUCAGAUGGAGGCUGUUUGGAAGGCAUCCACAGUUUAGAUCUGGACUCAGUGGAAGGAAAGGAUAUUCUAAAAAAUGCAAUGGCAGACAACAGAUAAGAGACUCUCAUCACCUCUGUAUUUGGAUGACUCUUCAUCGUCAUUAGUAUGUUCUGGGGGCCCUCAGCAAGCAGGUUCUCAAGAUAGGUCUCCCCUGAUGGCAGGAGGGAGCAUGGGGUCUCCUCCUCCGUGUGAUGGCUGCUCCUGCAUGGAUGGUCCAGCUGCUGCAGGCCAAGAAGAGGCAGAGGAGGGAGGAUGGAGGGCAGGUGACAGCUGGUGCAUACUCAAGCCACCUUCACCCAGUCUCUCAGCAAAAAGAAGCAGCAACAGGAGCAGCAGAGAGGCCUGGAUUUCAAUGGCACCCCAGGCUGCACACCUGUUUUCACCUUAGGGGUGGGCAGAAGCAGCUGAUCCUUUCACCCCACCCUUUCCAUGUCUUGUGUGCUCUGAAGAAAUACCCAACCCUGAGGCUGGGACACCCCCAGCUCUCUGGAAGAUGGCCGUGAUUAUGUGGUUAAUAACCACCUCCCUUGUUGGACUUUCUGGAACUUGCCUCUGCUGAAGCUAUCCAAAUAGUUGUUCAUUUCCUCAUUUGUUUGCCCACCAAUAUUUACUAAGUAGCUGCUAUGCUCUGUGCUGGUCCCGUAGCUAUGGUAAGCAGUCCCUGCCCUCCAGAAGCUUACAGUCUGGUGGGGAAGGCAGAUAAUUCUCUGUAGCCCCCUCUCUGACCUGCCCACACUGUUCUCUCCCAGGGCUUACACCCCCUGGGCCCUGCCUGCAGGCCAUACACCAUGAUGACAAACACUGGGCUGCUAUCAAAAGCCCCAUUGAGAGCUCGUCAUCGUGCAUAUAAAGUAGCAGUGUUGGUCCUGAACCUGACCCGAGGAGGCACAGCUAUUGUCAGUGCUGUUUUGACAGCUCUUGACAGCAGGUGUCUAUCAGCUCCCGUUCUUCUUUUUCCCACUCCCACUGUUUUUUUGCCAGUCUCAAAGUGUCACUUCCAUUUGGAAGGCAUGGAAGAAGUGAGGUGGUAAAAGGAACCAGUCAUCACUCAUCCCAUUGACCAGGGUGGAGGUCAGGCAUGGCCAGAGGACAAGUGGCAUCUGUGCUGGAACAUCCCAGGAUCAUGGAGUUGCUGAUAGAGGGAGCUGGGGUCAUACCCCCCUUAGCUGGAGCCCUUCCUCCCUCUGCCUCUGAAAAGGAUGGUUUUCUUCCAUGGACCAUCAUUGAAUGUGGCUUCUCAGUGUCUCAGCCACUGGAAACCAGGAAAUUUCCUUAGGUAGGGGUAGAGCAAUGAGUGGUAGGGAAUGUCCUGGCUAAGGGCUUGAGCUGUGGGAGACUGGUUUUAAGAGACAAAAAAGGGAGUGUACAUAAGGUCAUGAGUUAAGGCUUUGGAGUUGGACAGACUAAGACUCAAGUCCUAACUCUGAUCUGGCAUUUCCAUUGCUAGGUAUAUACCCAAUAGAAAUGAAAACAUUCAUCCAUACAAAGACAUGUAUACAAAGGUUCACAACUGCAUUAUUUAUAACAGCCAAGAAGUAGAAACAAUCCAACUGCCCAUCAGCUGGUGAAUGGAUAGAUCAAGUGUGGCAUAUCCAUACAGGGGACAGCUAGUGUACCAUGGUCAGAAGGAAG